GGCCCGGCGCCCCGCCCCUCCUGCCCCACCGCUAGGGGGCAGCACCUGCGAUCACGCUUUAAAGCGCGGGGGCUCUGCGCACCGAGGGUCGGCGAGUGGCCUCGGGAGGCUCGGAGUCCGGCUUCUCAGACCGCCCUGGGUGCCAUGGCCGAGAACCUCCUCUUAGGGGCGCACCUGGGGGUGCACCCCAGCCGCCUGUGGAUCUGGGACAAGGCAGUGUACAUGGAUGAGAAGCGGCGCACCUGGUUGCCCAUCAUCAUCAAGGGAGAGAGCAGCCUGCAGGUGCUGCUGCGCCAGGAAGACGUCCCCCUGGGGGAAGCCGUGAGCCCCAACCACCUGGCUCCUAACGUGCUGCCCUUCAUGUGGCAGCUCUACCCCGAAAGGAGAUACCGCGGCUCCGACUCCAGUUUCUGGCACGUUGUAUACCACAUCAAGGCAAGCGUGGCUUUCCCCAGGGGCCAAUUGGGAGACCUGGGCGGCCCUGCGCUCCUCCCCCAGCCCCGCCACCUCUGGCCCCUGUUGCAGCUGUUCCUCCCUCCCAGCUGCAAAAGCCGAGCGGGGGCAUUUCCACCUGUGGUGUUUUAGAAGCCAGCUUAGAGGGAACUUAGACCUGGAUGAACAGGUCUCUCACCGAGGCCCCCUGGCCAUGGGAAGCCCCCUGGGGCGGGCGAUCACGGGCUGACGGCUGGUGGGACGAGGGGCAGCCUCACUGGGCUGCACCUGCUGCUCCGGGCUGGGGUGAGGGAAGCAGAAUUGCCAGGCCCUGGUCUCCAGCUGUUCCCUCUCUCCCUCAGUUCAACAGCACGGAGGACAUGCUCCUGGAACAGCUGCCACUCCUGGAAUGGCAGUGACCCGGUCUCGCGCUUCCCGUCUCUCUCCGUCCCCUGGGCCCGAGUCCUGCUGGCCUGAGUGGGACGUUCGUAUUUGCACUCACCCUUGUUUCCUACCCCAUGUGUCCUCCGCCACACUGCUGGAUGAGCCCUCCCCAGGACUGCUGGACCUGCCUGCAGCCCACUCAGCUCCCCUCGCUCCUCAGCACUGCCACCUGCCUAGCAAAUGAAUGACACCAGGGAGGCCCUGGGCUGGUGUGCCUGUGCUCCGGUGUUCUCCGCUGGUGGAUGGCUGUCAGCGUUCCCCCCUCUGCCCCUCAUGGUGCAUUCCCAGGGGCUGCUCCUGUUCUGUCCCCUUGGCUCCAGCCACUUCUGGGAACGGGGCCUCUUUGCCUGAGCAUGGGCCAUGCCUCCGAGACCUUGGCCCGGCUGUCUCACUUGGUGCUGUGCCCGCAAAAACUCUACCUGCCUGCACAGGCUCAGGUGCCCUUCAAGGGAAGGCCUGAAGGGGCCGUGUCUCUGCCCAGGACUCAAAAGCCUGCUGGACGGCGACGUGGCCUGCACCGCUGGGGACAAGCCCUCGGGCUGCCACCCACAGGAGGGACAGAGGCGGGGCUCUCCUCUCUGGCAGGUGUCCACACACCUGAGGGUUAUGCAGUUGGAUGUGAUGUUGAUUGAUUAAAUGUAAGGCUGUUCAUCUGACCUUGUGCCGAGUCGGCUUCUGUCCCUGACCCAGAUCCCAGUGGAGAGCAGUAAGAACAGGCGCAGACCAAAUAAGACUCCACAGGGAACAGAUCCUUGUGAAUUUAAUGCACCUUGUUUGUUUGGAGAGAAACCUAGAAUAUAUUUUUUCCCAUGUAAUCCAACACUCAAAACCCCAGUGUUCUCUGAGGCCUCGCUUGGGAACCAUUGUAGUAAGUGACCUCCAAAAGCCUUCGCCAGCUACCCCUCCACGCAGGCCUGCCCUCCUGGCCCCCCGGCUCCCAUAGCCUCUGCCGCAGCCUGCUGUGGCUCCCCCUUGCCCUGGCACCCACUGGCUUUGUCCAUGCUUAGGCAGUUGCUGCUUCUGUUCACAUCCCAGGUGACCACACAGGCCCCACACAGACUCCCUUCCCCAGCUCCUGGGUCUGCCCUGGGCCCUGCCCCCCGGUCCUUCUACCCAGGACCUAGGAUAUUGCCAGGGGAUGCCCUCCUGGGGCAGGGGUCCAUUCAGUAGAAUCCUGGUCUUCCCACUGGUGCGUGACUUUAGGUCACGGCUUCCUCGUGAGAGAGGGGAGGAGGUGAUGACACGGCAGGCUGCUCUGAGGCUGUAUCGAGCGUAGUGGAAGUGCAGCGCUCCAGGUAUCUCACAAGACAACUUUGUGAGAAAUGCAUCUCCCAUUUCAGUGUCUGACCCGGGCUGCUUACCUGGCACCGGAGCACUAAGAAGCGUGGGUCUCAGAUGUGCCACGGUUUGAGGCUCGGCAUUUUAACCCUGUCCCCUGCACGGUGCUUGGCAGAACGAGAGUCUGGGCUGCGGGAGCAGUUACUGCACGGACCCGUCGGUGGGCACAGAGCAUGAGAACGGAGUCGGAGCAGGACAUCAGCCCCAGCCAGCUGCCUCGUUUGAGGAUAAGGACACUGAGCCCUGAGAAUAGGAAAGUCCUGCGAGAUUCUGUCGUUUGCCACAUCCUUGACCGUGGCCGUGAAGCGUG